rnacentral:lncRNA from 1 species
AUGGCAUCUCGCAAAAGAUCAAUGGCAUGAGGUAGGGCUGGCAGUAUAAACUGAAAGCAUUCCUGUGACCCUUUCUUGCUACCUGGCAGAUUAAUUAUGAGAGUUUUCCCUCUGAUUCCACAUACAGGUCUAGAGAGCAUGCCCAGAGGAGUUACAUUAAGUGAUCCCAUCAGCAUUGCCAGGGCCAUCCCCGGUGCUUCUCGCUCUAUUACUUCUUUAGUGGCCUCUGGGGUGACAUCUCGUGGUGCAAACCCUGUUCCUCCAGUUGUUAAAAUCAAAUUAAGUUCCUUUUCAUCACACCAAUCUAUCAGCGUCUCCUUGAUUUCUUCUAUUUCAUCUGGCACUAUCUUGUAUGCAGAUAUAGUCCCACCCAACAAAGAAGGGUCCUGGACCAGAUCUUUAAGGUUUAUCCCACUACGAUCCUCGGCAAGGUUCCUGAAGCAACUGUCACUCACUGUGAGCACCCCGACGCGGAUCUGGUGAUCGUGGUUCGUUAGAAUCAUCCCCUCCG